UAACAGAGCCCUCCCCCCCCCAGCUCACAGCCUGGUGCUGCCCCCCCGCCAUGUGCCCAGCAGGGGGUGCUGCACUCCCCUGGGGGGGGGCAUCCAUGGUUCUAUUUGAUGCAGUUCUGAAUACAGCAUCCUCCAGCCAUAGUCUGGCGGGGUGGGGGAGAGAAGAGGGGUCAUAGAGUUCAGCGCACCCCCGGCAGGUAGCCCAGCUGUGGGGCUGGGGACAGACAAGGCACUUUUCAGGGUGUCCGGGGUUGUUUCCAUCCCAGGCAACUUGUUUCAGCAGGAGAGGGCCGGACAUAGAGCAAAGGUGGACACAUAAUGGACAGAGCUAUGGGUGGUGGACAGACAGACAGCUGUUCGGGGUGUGCUGGGAGGGAUGGAUAGAGGGGUGUGGAAGAAGGAAUGGAUAGAUAGAUACAGAGGUUGGGGGAUGGAUGGGGGUAAGAUGGCUAGAGGGAGUGUGGAAGAAGGGAUGGAUGGAUAGUUAGAUAGAUACAGGGGUUGGGGGAUGGCUGGUUAGAUAUAUACAGGAGGUCUGGGGGAAGAUGGAUGGAUGGAUAGAGGGGCAGGGGAUGAACAGGUGGAUAGACAGAGGGGUUGGGGGAUGGAUAGAGGGGGUACGGGGGGAAGAUGGAUGGAUACAGGGCUUGGGGGAUGGAUGGAUAGAGGGGGUACGGGGAGAAGAUGGAUGGAUAGACACAGGGCUUGGGGGAUGGAUGGAGGGGGUACGGGGGGAAGAUGGAUGGAUAGAUACAGGGCUUGGGGGAUGAAUGGAUAGAGGGGGUACGGGGGGAAGAUGGAUGGAUAGAUACAGGGCUUGGGGGAUGAAUGGAUAGAGGGGUACGGGGGAAGGAUGGAUGGAUAGACACAGGGCUUGGGGGAUGGAUGGAGGUAGGGGGGAAGAUGGAUGGAUAGAUACAGGGGUUGGGGGCUGGAUGGAUGGAUAGAGGGGAUGUGGAGGGAUGGAUGGACGCAUACCUAAAAUCGUAUUGAUGGAUGGCAUGAGGAAGUGGAAAUUUGCUGUAAUAUUUUUGAGGCCCAUGUUUGCCUCAGUUUCCCUCUGUGAUUUGCGCGGCUCCCCCGUGGGGGCUGAAGGGUUACAAAGCUGCUCUCGGGACAGAGCUGGCGCCAUGGGGGUGGGGCCAUGGACCGCGGGGGGUGGGAUGAACAGGGUGUUAAAGGGGCA
rnacentral:lncRNA from 1 species